rnacentral:lncRNA from 1 species
GAUUCCUCAAAUCUUUCAUCUCUUGGUAUAUACAUAGGAAGUGGCUUCUCCACACGACUCUCACAAGUAAUAUCUACAGCACCAUCCAAUUCAAUUUUGCUUAGUUAUUUAGAAUUUCCAUAAAGUGAAUGAGUCGGGGUUCAAAUUUAGGAAAUCUAAUAUCGCACUUUAAAGGAUAGAAAUGUAGUUUAACACCCUACUAAAGGAUAUAAUGCAAAAUUCAUUAAUCAUUUAGUAGUGUAAAAUUGCUUAUUUAAUUAAUUAUUACCUGUAUCAGAUGGUUCACGGCCAGUACGACACCGUCUAGGGUAUGGAUACAUUUCAGAUCCGCCAAGAGUUGGUCUAGCAAGAUCAAUUCCUCUAUCUGGGUUUCCAAGAUCAUUGUAUGUGUCAUAAUCAUAAAUUCUGUCAGAUAAUUUUCUAACUCCUUUUCCAUCACCUCUCAGAUUUUUCAGGUCUUUCUCCCUCAAAAGUUUAAUCCCAGCAGGUGUAUCAUCGGGUAGAUAAGGCUGUUCAAAGUAAAUCAAACAUAUGUUACCACUUUAUUCCGAAAAGAAUAUAUACUAUACUUGAUCUUAGUCGAAAGAUCGAGAAAGGUAAAUGUUACCAUUUUAUUUUUAUAUUUAAGGAAUGUUGCCACUUUAUUAGUUGUAAUAAAUUAACAUUAGGGAAAUGCCGAAUAGUAUCGAGGGUAAUAUUAUUUCACCACAUUCACCCUCGAUCAUAAGGAGUAUUUGUAAUAGUCAGAAAAAUAAGAGGAAUGCGAGAGAUAUUAUUUUCUAACACUUUAUAAUAUUCAUCUUUUAUUAGAUGAAAUUAAUCUAUAUCCUAGUACCAUUUUAAGAAGACCAAUUUUUAAGUUGUGAAACUCACCUUCAUUUAAACAUAUAAAGGAGUGAGUGUUAGAAAGCGUUCAACUGUCUAAAAAAUAAAGAUAAAGACUAGUAGUAUUCUUUUUCUUGACAAGUACUGCUAUUAUUUAAUUCAACGGUUUCUUUGCCCAAUUCAUACCGGUAGGUCAAUUCAAUGGUGCUUGGUCCAUGCAUAAAUUUUCUAGCUUAAUUGUUUAUUAAUACUAUAUCACUUUAUCACGGAUAAUUAAUUAAAAAAUGCAAUGAUAUAUAACACUAAUUAUAAAAUCACGGACUGUUUGGUUUUGGCACCUAAAAUAUUAAAUAACAUUCAAUAUUUUUACGGUAAAAAAUGAACUUUUGGAAUUCUUGUCCCUUUUCAAGAUUCUUCAAAAGAAAAAUUAUUAUACCUUUUAACUUCCAAUUUUCUCCUUAUUUCUCACGUUGAAAAAAUGAAUAAACAAAUAAUGUUGCCUUAUUAUACUAUUUCUUUGGCUGUACUAUUUUUUUUUCUUACUGGGCCAUGUUAUGAUGACAGAACGAAAAAUAUAAAAAACAAAAAAAGAGUUGAAGAAUUAAUUAUUAGAUACCUUAUUAGAAAAGAAAAUUCUCUUUCCAGGAAGAUCUUUUCUGGCUUGAACCCAAGAAUUGCAAGGAAAAUGAAAUGCUCCAGUUGCAAAUCCUUCAAUUGUUAUAUUUUCUAAGUAAAACUCUUGUUGAUGAUUAUUUAUCACAGUAAUUGCUCCUGGUUCUCCAAAAUUUGAAUCAACCGUAAAUUCAGCUGUGUAAUUAACUCUCUCAGCUUUAAUAUUAGUCUUCUUUGACCAAUCCUUCAACACUGCUUCAUUGGUCUUCUUUGCAGCGUUUGUUUCUGAAAGAUCACAACAUAAAAAUCACCAAUAAUUUAAUUCAGUUAUAAAUUUAAAGUUAAUCCAAAUAAAUUUCCAAAAAUAAUUAAAAUUGAUCAAAAUCAAAGAACAUUAAAUUAAAUUUAAAAGCUAUGAAGCACAGAUACGGACGGACACUAACAUGCCAACACCGCUAAUAAUUUCAUAAAAUUACAUAAUUCAGUGUAAUUACAAGUGUUGGUGUUGUAUCAGUGUCGGACACCGGGACACGUUAAAUCCGAUGAGUGACUGCGCUUCAUAGAUUAAAAGUAUAAAUUAAAUAUUGAUUUUUAAUUAACAGAAUGAAGAAAAGUCUUACUUGGAUCAAUCUCAGUGCUAAAAAGUUCAAGAACAACAUUUCGUCCAAUCCUAUCAGUAAAAGCAUCAAGAUGUUUCACAAAAGUCUCUUUGAAAUCCUCUUUGAUCUUGUUCCUCACUGUCACAACAGCUCUAACCUUAAAUUUCACUGGUUUCUCAGCAGGAACAGAAGAAGAAGAUGAUGAUAUAGAAGAAGAUGAAGAAGAGCUUUUCAUCAAAUCUUCACUGAUAGCUGCAACAGGGAACUUUGCAGAUUUUCUCAACCUGACAACUCUUUUGUUUCCAUAAGGAACAAAAACAGGACUGAUCAAGAAACUACCAUUCUUCUGUUGAAAACAUGGUGAAGAAGAAGGAAAUAUUGGUCUCUCUACCAAUGAAGAACCCAUGAAUUCUUUUGUUAGGGCCAUGAAUCAAUGGUUUCUUUGAGGUUUUUUCCUUCUUCUAAGGUUUUUUUGUUAAUUUUUAUGAAGAAGGUUUUGUUUCCUACGUUUGGUGAAAUGAAAGAAGAAGUGGAACAGUGAGAAAUAGUUAGUGGUUGUGUCGGUUUUAAUGUAAAUAGUUGGCUUAAGAAUUGUUUUAUAUAUAUACAAGUGAAGAAUACAAUUAGUCAAAAAAAUAAU